rnacentral:rRNA from 1 species
GACGAACCGUGCGAACGUUAUUCGGAAUCACUGGGCUUAAAGCGCGUGUAGGCGGGCCGGCACGUCGGUCGUUGAAAUCCCCCGGCUCAACCGGGGAAGCGGCGCCGAUACGACCGGCCUCGAGGGACGUAGGGGGGGCUGGAACUUCCGGUGGAGCGGUGAAAUGCGUUGAGAUCGGAAGGGACGCCCGUGGCGAAAGCGAGCCCCUGGACGUCUACUGACGCUGAGACGCGAAAGCCAGGGGAGCGAACGGG